rnacentral:rRNA from 1 species
UACGUAGGUGGCAAGCGUUGUCCGGAUUUACUGGGUGUAAAGGGAGCGCAGGCGGGAAAGCAAGUCAGUGGUGAAAUGCAUGGGCUUAACCCAUGAACUGCCGUUGAAACUGUUUUUCUUGAGUGAAGUAGAGGCAAGCGGAAUUCCGAGUGUAGCGGUGAAAUGCGUAGAUAUUCGGAGGAACACCAGUGGCGAAGGCGGCUUGCUGGGCUUUAACUGACGCUGAGGCUCGAAAGUGUGGGGAGCAAAC